GUUUGUUACGGCUUGAGCUGAGCUUUCGCUCGCUGUCCACCACUGCUGUUUUGCCACCAUGGCAGACCCACCACUGACCUCCAUCCCUCCGCAUCCAGCAGGGUGUCCGCUGUGCUCCUGAUCCAGUGAGGCGCCCGUUGCCACUCCCGAUUGGGCUAAGGGCUUGCCAAUGUUCCUGCAUGGCUAAGUGCCUGGGUUCGUCCUAAUCGAGCUGAACACUAGUCACUGGGUUCCAUGGUUCUCUUCCAUGACCCACAACUUCUAAUAGAGCUAUAACAAGCACUGCAUGGCCCAAGAUUCCAUUCCUUGGAAUCCGUGAGGCCAAGAACCCCAGGUCAGAGAACACGAGGCUUGCCACCAUCUUGGAAGUGGCCCACCGCCAUUUUGGAAGUGGCCAACCACCAUCUUGGGAGCUCUGGGAGCAAGGACCCCUGGUAACAUUUUGGCGACCACGAAGGGACAUCCCAAGUGAUAAGCUGAGACCAUCCUUGAAAUAGACUCACUUUGGUGUAAUCAACACUUCUCUUUCCUGCCAUCUUGUGAAGAAGGACCUGUUUGCUUCCUCUUCUGCCAUGAUUGUAAACUUCCUGAGGCCUUCCCAGACAUAUGAAACUCUGCCUUGUGAAGAAGGACUUGCCUGCUUCCCUUUCCACCAUGGUUGUAAGUUUCCCGAGGCCUUCCCAGCCAUGCAGAACUGUGAGUCAAUUAAACCUUUUUCCUUUAUAAAUUACCCAAUUUCAGGUAUGUCUUCAUAGAUGCCUGAGCAGGAACUAUUAGGUUGAUGCAAAGGUAAUUGCACAUUUUGACAUUUUUUAAAGUAAUGGCAAAACCCUCAAUUACUUCUGCACUAACUAAAUAAUAUGUAUACUAUCCGGACUUCUUGGUUUUUCAGAACUUUCUCUGUUGUAAACACUCCAGUGAUAGUAUAAUCUCAUUGCUAUUUUACUUUUAGAAGUUUAUUUGCCAAAAUCCAUACACAAAAGAAGAAGAUAGAAAUGAUUAGUGCUGAAUUGGUUUACAGUUAUAUCAGAGGAAAUCAUAAUAUAAGUGAAGAUCUCAUAAGGAUAGAAUCAUAUCAAUAAUGUUUAUAUCUUCCGUGAAUUAUUAUGGAGUUU
rnacentral:lncRNA from 10 species